rnacentral:tRNA from 1 species
GCCCAGGUGGUGGAAUUGGUAGACACGCAGGUCUCAGAAGCCUGUGCUUAACCGCAUGGGGGUUCGAGUCCCCCUUGGGCACCA